AUUAAAGAUCCAAAGUCAUGACUGACUCCAAGUAUUUCACAACCAAUAAAAAAGGAGAAAUAUUUGAACUAAAAGCUGAACUCAACAAUGAAAAGAAAGAAAAGAGAAAGGAGGCUGCGAAGAAAGUGAUUGCUGUUGCAACUGUGGGGAAGGAUGCUAGUUCUGUCUUUCCAGACAUAAUGAACUGUAUGCAGACUGGCAAUCUGGAACUAAAGAACCUUGUGUAUCUCUAUUUGAUGAACUAUGCCAAGAGUCAGCCAGGCAUGGCCAUCAUGGCUGUAAACAGUUUCAUAAAGGACUGUGAAGAUCCUAGUCCUUUGAUUAGAGCCUUGGCAGUCAAAACCAUGGGGUGCAUCCGGGUAGACAAAAUUACAGAAUAUCUCUGUGAGCCCCUCCUCAAGUGGUUGGAGGAUGAGGAUUCCUAUGUUCGGAAAACAGCAGCAGUAUGCGUGGCAAAGCUCCAUGAUAUCAACGCCCAAAUGGUGGAAGAUCAGGGGUUUUUGGAUUCUCUAUGAGGUCUUAUAGCAGAUUCAAAUCUAAUGGUGGUGGCUAAUGCUGUAGCAGCAUUAUCUGAAAUCAGUGAGUCUCAACCAAACAGCAACUUACUCAAUCUGAACACACAGAACAUUAAUAAGCUGCUGAAAGCCCUGAAUGAGUGCACUGAAGGGGCCAGAUUUCAUCCUGGACUGCUUGUCUAAUUACAACCCUAAAGAUGAUCGGGAGGCUCAGAGCAUCUGUGAGCGGGUAACUCCCCAGCUAUCCCAUGCCAACUCAGCAGUGGUGCUUUCAGCAGUAAAAGUCCUAAUGAAGUUUCUAGAAUUGUUACCUAAGGAUUCUGACUACUACAAUAUGCUGCUGAAGAAGUUAGCCCCUCCACUUGUCAUUUUGCUGUCCGGGGAGUCAGAAGUGCAGUAUGUCUCCCUGAGGAACAUCAACAUAAUUGUCCAGAAAAGUCCUGAAAUCUUGAAGCAGGAAAUCAAAGUCUUCUUUGUGAAGUACAAUGAUCCCAUCUAUGUUAAACUAGAGAAGCUGGACAUCAGGAUUCAUUUGGCAUCACAAGCCAACAUCACUCAAAUUCUGGCAGAACUGAAGGAACAUGCCACAGUGGUGAAUGUUGACUUUGUUCAAAAAGCUGUGCAGGCCAUUGGACGGUGUGCCAUCAAGAUGGAGCAAUCUGCAGCGUGCUGUGUAAGCACAUUGCUUGAUCUAAUCCAGACCAAAGUGAAUUAUGUGGUCCAAGAAAUGAUUGUUGUCAUCAGGGACAUCUUCCGCAAAUAUUCUAACAAGUGUGAAAGUAUCAUUGCCACUCUAUGUGAGAACUUAGACUCACUGGAUGAGCCAGAUGCUCGAGAGGCUAUGAUUUGGAUUGUGGGAGAAUAUGCUGAAAGAAUUAACAAUGCAGAUGAGUUACUAGAAAGCUUCCUGGAGGGUUUUCAAGAUGAAAGCACCCAGGUGCAGCUCACUCUGCUUACUGCCAUAGUGAAGCUGUUUCUCAAGAAACCACCAGAAACACAGGAGCUAGUCCAGCAGGUGUUGACUUUGACAACACAGGAUUCUGAUAAUCCUGACCUUCAAGACCAGGGCUAUAUUUAUUGGGAUCUUCUCUCAACUGACCCUGUCACAGCUAAAUAAGUAGUCUUGUCUGAGAAGCCAUGGAUCUCUGAAGACGGAAUUUAUUGAGCCAACUGUGUUGGAUGAACUAAUCUGCCACAUUGGUUCUUUGGCCUCUGUGUAUCACAAGCCUUCCAAUGCUUUUGUGGAAGGAAGUCAUGGAAUCCAUCAUAAACACUUGCCAAUUCAUCAUGGGAGCACUGAUGCAGGGGACAGCCUUGUUGGCACCACUACUGCAACGAACCUGGAACAGCCUAUGGUUAUCCCCUCUCAAGGUGAUCUUCUGGGGAGUCUUUUAAACAGGUGGCUAUGA